GAUGAACGCUAGCGGGAGGCUUAACACAUGCAAGUCGAGCGGUAGGGCAGCAAUGCCUGAGAGCGGCGCACGGGUGCGUAACGCGUAUGCAACCUGCCUUAUACAGGGGAAUAGCACAUGGAAACGUGGAUUAAUGUCCCAGAGGAUUACGGAUUCGCAUGGAUCUGGGAUUAAAACUGAGUUGGUAUAAGAUGGGCAUGCGUCUGAUUAGGUAGUUGGUGAGGUAAUGGCUAACCAAGCCGACGAGCAGUAGGGGUUCUGAGAGGAUUACCCCCCACACUGAUACUGAGACACGGACCAGACUCCUACGGGAGGCAGCAGUGAGGAAUAUUGGUCAAUGGCCGGAAGGCUGAACCAGCCAUCCCGCGUGCAGGAUGACGGCCCUAUGGGUUGUAAACUGCUUUUGUACCUGAAGAAACCUGGUUACGAGUAACCAGUUGCCGGUAAGGUAUGAAUAAGCAUCGGCUAACUCCGUGCCAGCAGCCGCAGUAAGAC
rnacentral:rRNA from 1 species